GAAGAAACCAAACUACUCUGAUG
rnacentral:piRNA from 1 species